UACGUAGGGGGCAAGCGUUGUCCGGAAUUAUUGGGCGUAAAGCGCGCGCAGGCGGCUGAUUAAGUCUUAUGUUUAAACCCAGGGCUCAACCUUGGGUCGCAUGGGAAACUGGUCAGCUUGAGUGUAGGAGAGGAAAGUGGAAUUCCACGUGUAGCGGUGAAAUGCGUAGAGAUGUGGAGGAACACCAGUGGCGAAGGCGACUUUCUGGCCUAUAACUGACGCUGAGGCGCGAAAGCGUGGGGAGCAAACAGG
rnacentral:rRNA from 1 species